rnacentral:misc_RNA from 1 species
CGCACCUUGCGCUCCUUGGUAUUCCGAGGAGCAUGCCUGUUUGAGUGUCAUGGAAUUCUCAACUUCAUUUGCUUUUGUGAAUGAAGCUUGGACUUGGAGGUAUUGCUGGCCGUACGGUCGGCUCCUCUUGAAUUUAUUAGCUCGAGCCUUUGUGGAUCAGCUUCGGUGUGAUAAUUGUCUACGCCGUUCUGUGAAGCAUAACUAUGGGACUCGGCUUCCAAUAGUCCUUCACUGGACAAUAUCUUUGACCUUUGACCUCAAAUCAGGUAGGAUUACCCGCUGAACUUAA